UACGUAGGGGGCAAGCGUUGUCCGGAAUCAUUGGGCGUAAAGCGCGUGUAGGCGGCUCGAUAAGUCUGAUGUGAAAUCCCCGGGCUCAACCUGGGAAUGGCAUUGGAUACUGGCUCGCUAGAGUGCGGUAGAGGGUGGUGGAAUUCCCGGUGUAGCGGUGAAAUGCGUAGAGAUCGGGAGGAACAUCUGUGGCGAAGGCGGCCACCUGGACCAACACUGACACUGAGGCACGAAAGCGUGGGGAGCAAACAGG
rnacentral:rRNA from 1 species